rnacentral:rRNA from 1 species
GUAUUGCCUGCCCAGUGGCGAGUCUUAACGGCUGCAGUAUUUUGACUGUACAAAGGUAGCGUAGUCACUUGUCCCCUCAUUAGGGACUAGAAUCAAUGGCUAAACGAGAGCUUAGCUGUCUCACCCAUAUUCCUAAAAACUUACCUUUAAGUGAAAAGGCUUGAAUCCCCUAAGAGGACAAGAAGACCUUAUGGAGCUUUAGAAGUGAAGCUCUGAAGCACUACUAUUCAUAAAAAGAGUGUAGAGCUUAGAACAUUGGUUGGGGCAACCGAGGUACCUCAGAACUACCUCUUGAAGAGCUGCUUAUAAGCACCUAUUAAGGAACAAAGAUGCUCUUAUGGAGAUCAGGAGAAUAAGCUAUCCUAGGGAUAACAGGGUUAUUCUCCCCAAGAGCUCCUAUCGAAGGGAGAGUUGCCACCUUGAUGUUGGACUAGGACAUCCAGUAGGUGUACCAGCUUACAAUGGUGAGCUUGUUCGG